GGCAGCAUGGUCUUAGCUUGCUAAGGCCGAUGGCGACCGGCGCACGGGUGAGUAACGCGUAUCCAACCUGCCUUACACUCUUGGACAGCCUUCUGAAAGGGAGAUUAAUACAAGAUGUUAUCAUGAGUAAGCAUUUUCGCAUGAUUAAAGGUUUACCGGUGUAAGAUGGGGAUGCGUUCCAUUAGAUAGUAGGCGGGGUAACGGCCCACCUAGUCUUCGAUGGAUAGGGGUUCUGAGAGGAAGGUCCCCCACAUUGGAACUGAGACACGGUCCAAACUCCUACGGGAGGCAGCAGUGAGGAAUAUUGGUCAAUGGACGAGAGUCUGAACCAGCCAAGUAGCGUGAAGGAUGAAGGUUCUAUGGAUUGUAAACUUCUUUUAUACGGGAAUAAACGAAUCCACGUGUGGAUUUUUGCAUGUACCGUAUGAAUAAGGAUCGGCUAACUCCGUGCCAGCAGCCGCGGUAAUACGGAGGAUCCGAGCGUUAUCCGGAUUUAUUGGGUUUAAAGGGAGCGUAGAUGGGUUGUUAAGUCAGUUGUGAAAGUUUGCGGCUCAACCGUAAAAUUGCAAUUGAUACUGGCAGUCUUGAGUACAGUUGAGGUAGGCGGAAUUCGUGGUGUAGCGGUGAAAUGCUUAGAUAUCACGAAGAACUCCGAUUGCGAAGGCAGCUUACUAACCCUGUAACUGACAUUGAUGCUCG
rnacentral:rRNA from 1 species